UACGAAGGGGCUAGCGUUGUUCGGAAUUACUGGGCGUAAAGGGCGCGUAGGCGGUACUUCAAGUCAGGCGUGAAAGCCCGGGCUCAACCUCGGAACUGCCUUCGAUACUGCGGGUCUCGAGUCCGGGAGAGGUGAGUGGAAUUCCUAGUGUAGAGGUGAAAUUCGUAGAUAUUAGGAAGAACACCCGUGGCGAAGGCGGCGUCUCUGGGACGGUA
rnacentral:rRNA from 1 species